ACGGGUGAGUAACGCGUGGGCAACCUGCCCUUAAGAGGGGGAUAACACUAAGAAAUUGGUGCUAAUACCGCAUAAGCACGAGAUGACGCAUGUCAACUCGUUAAAAGGAGAAAUCCACUUAAGGAUGGGCCCGCGUCUGAUUAGCUAGUUGGUGAGGUAACGGCUCACCAAGGCGACGAUCAGUAGCCGACCUGAGAGGGUGAUCGGCCACACUGGAACUGAGACACGGUCUAGACUCCUACGGGAGGCAGCAGUGGGGAAUAUUGCGCAAUGGGGGAAACCCUGACGCAGCAACGCCGCGUGGAGGAAGAAGGUCUUCGGAUUGUAAACUCCUGUCUUCAGGGACGAAGAAAUGACGGUACCUGAGGAGGAAGCCACGGCUAACUACGUGCCAGCAGCCGCGGUAAUACGUAGGUGGCAAGCGUUGUCCGGAAUUAUUGGGCGUAAAGGGCGCGUAGGCGGCACUCUAAGUCAGAUGUGAAAACCCGGGGCUUAACUCCGGAGGUGCAUUUGAAACUGGAGAGCUCGAGUGCAGGAGAGGAAAGCGGAAUUCCUAGU
rnacentral:rRNA from 1 species